UGGGCGAAGCCUGACCGAGCAACGCCGCGUGAGCGAUGAAGGCCUUCGGGUCGUAAAGCUCUGUUGUUAGAGAAGAACAAGUACGAGAGUAACUGCUCGUACCUUGACGGUACCUAACCAGAAAGCCACGGCUAACUACGUGCCAGCAGCCGCGGUAAUACGUAGGUGGCAAGCGUUAUCCGGAAUUAUUGGGCGUAAAGCGCGCGCAGGCGGUCUCUUAAGUCUGAUGUGAAAGCCCACGGCUCAACCGUGGAGGGUCAUUGGAAACUGGGAGACUUGAGUGCAGGAGAGAAAAGUGGAAUUCCACGUGUAGCGGUGAAAUGCGUAGAGAUGUGGAGGAACACCAGUGGCGAAGGCGGCUUUUUGGCCUGUAACUGACGCUGAGGCGCGAAAGCGUGGGGAGCAAACAGGAUUAGAUACCCUGGUAGUCCACGCCGUAAACGAUGAGUGCUAGGUGUUGGGGGGUUCCACCCUCAGUGCUGAAGUUAACACAUUAAGCACUCCGCCUGGGGAGUACGACCGCAAGGUUGAAACUCAAAGGAAUUGACGGGGGCCCGCACAAGCAGUGGAGCAUGUGGUUUAAUUCGAAGCAACGCGAAGAACCUUACCAGGUCUUGACAUCCUCUGACCACUCUAGAGAUAGAGCUUUCCCCUUCGGGGGACAGAGUGACAGGUGGUGCAUGGUUGUCGUCAGCUCGUGUCGUGAGAUGUUGGGUUAAGUCCCCGCAGCGAGCGCAGCCCUUGACCUUAGUUGCCUGCAUUCAGUUGGGGCACUCUAAGGUGACUGCCGGUGACAGACCGGAAGAAGGUGGGGAUGACCUGAAAUCAUGAUGCCCCCUUU
rnacentral:rRNA from 2 species